rnacentral:rRNA from 1 species
UCCCUCCUCGACACCAUGCCUUAAUAAGUCUGAUCUUGUCUAAUCAGAAGCUGAAUAGGAUUGGGCUUGGGGAAGCACAUGGUUGGGAGACUUCCUGGGAAAACCGGGUGCUGUAAGAU